GAGCCCGUGGCGCAACGGUAGCGCGUCGGAUUCCAGACCCGAAGGUUGCGCGUUCAAAUCGCGUCGGGCUCA